UACGUAGGGUCCGAGCGUCGUCCGGAAUUACUGGGCGUAAAGCGCGUGUAGGCGGUCUGAAUAGUCUGCUGUGAAAGCGCCUGGCUUAACCGGGCGAGGUCGGCGGAAACUCUCAGACUGGAGGCCGGUAGAGGGGGGUGGAAUUCCCGGUGUAGUGGUGAAAUGCGUAGAUAUCGGGAGGAACACCUGUGGCGAAAGCGGCUCACUGGACCACAACUGACGCUGAGGCGCGAAAGCUAGGGGAGCAAACAGG
rnacentral:rRNA from 1 species